CUACGGGGUGCUCCAGUGAGGAAUAUUGCACAAUGGGGGGAACCCUGAUGCAGCAACGCCGCGUGGAGGAUGACGCAUUUCGGUGUGUAAACUCCUUUUAUAUGUCAAGAAAAUGACGGUAGCAUAUGAAUAAGCACCGGCUAACUCCGUGCCAGCAGCCGCGGUAAUACGGAGGGUGCAAGCGUUACUCGGAAUCACUGGGCGUAAAGGACGCGUAGGCGGGUUGGAAAGUCAGGUGUGAAAUCCUACAGCUUAACUGUAGAACUGCACUUGAAACUUCUAAUCGAGAGUAUGGGAGGGGGAGAUGGAAUUAGUGGUGUAGGGGUAAAAUCCGUAGAUAUCACUAGGAAUACCUAAAGCGAAGGCGAUCUCCUGGAACAUUACUGACGCUAAGGCGUGAAAGCGUGGGGAGCAAACAGGAUUAGAUACCCCUGUAGGC
rnacentral:rRNA from 1 species